GAUGAAGAACGUAGCGAAAUGCGAUAAGUAGUGUGAAUUGCAGAAUUCAGUGAAUCAUCGAAUCUUUGAACGCACAUUGCGCCCCUUGGUAUCCCGAGGGGCAUGCCUGUUCGAGCGUCAUUUCACCACUCAAGCCUGGCUUGGUGUUGGGCGACGUCCCCUUUAGGGACGCGCCUCGAAACGCUCGGCGGCGUGGCACCGGCUUUAAGCGUAGCAGAAUCUUUCGCUUUGGAAGUCGGGGCCCCACCUGCCGGAAUACCUACUCGUAAGGUUGACCUCGGAUCAGGCAGGGAUACCCGCUGAACUUAAGCAUAUCAAUAAGCGGAGGA
rnacentral:misc_RNA from 1 species